GUGGCGGAGGGCAGAGUAGGGAAUGUUUUCAGAUGCGAGGUGGGGAGAGGGCCAAGGAGGCCAUUAUGGGGUGGCUGCGGAUGAGUCAGGGAACCAGGAUGGCGGUCAGAGCCCAAGUAAGACGAGUCGAGAAGAAUUCGGGAUCCAGGAGAUGUUUGGCGCACAGGAAGGGAGUUUCUAGAUCUGGGCCCUGUUGACAUUCUGCGCUGAAUAAUUCCUCGUGGGAUCGGGGGAGGCUGUCCUGUGUGUCGUAGGCUGUUGAGUGACAUCCCUGGUCUCCACCCACUGGACGCCAAUAGCAUUCCUCCCUCCGUGACAACAACCAGAAACGCCUCGGACUCUGCCAGCUGUCCCCCCAGAUGGCAGAAUCGCUCCCAGUUGAAGAUCACCGACUUAAAGUAGGUAGUGACUUGAAAAUGGGAAAUAAAAAGUAACUUCUGAACAGUGCCUGGCCCACUGUAGGCACUCCACUAAUA